AGGUGUCAGCAAUCUACCAGGAGCACAUUGUAUGUGACAGCCUGAUCUAAGAAUUACAACGAGGAGGUCUGUGGAGAGAUGUCAUAGCUUUCAACAGAGUUGAGAAAGAAGACAGCUCCCCAGAAGACCAUAACAGUGCAAGAGAACAGAGUUUUCUCCAACAUCAAAACCGUUGAAGUAGAUUCUGAGCUGGUAAUGAGCAUCUAAAGUAAGUUACAGGAAUCUACACCCCUAUAGUGGACUGCAGUGAAUCAUAGAAUGGCCUGGGUUGAAACGGACCAGUGAUCAACCAGUCUCAACCCCCUUGCUAUGUGCAGGGUCACCAACUACCAGAUCCAACAACUGCCCACAGCCACAUCCAG